rnacentral:rRNA from 1 species
UACGGGGGGAGCAAGCGUUGUUCGGAUUUAUUGGGCGUAAAGGGCGCGCAGGCGGCUACGCACGUCCGUUGUGAAAUCGCUCGGCUCAACUGGGCGGGGUCAGCGGAUACGGCGUAGCUGGAGCAAGCUAGGGGGCAAUGGAAUUCCCGGUGUAGUGGUGAAAUGCGCAGAUAUCAGGAGGAACACCGGUGGCGAAGGCGGAUCUCUGGGCCAUUACUGACGCUGAGGAGCGAAAGCGUGGGGAGCGAACAGG